rnacentral:lncRNA from 1 species
UAAAGGGGGUAAAGAUCAAACUCGUACGCACGAGAGAUGAUUUUACAAAAAUCAUUUAUAUACGCGUGUGGUGCGCGCAUUGCACGAUGUGCACUCUGACAUCCAAUUUGAGUACAUUGUUGGCGACGUUGCACAGCGAGAGAGUGACAGGCGGCGACUCUCGGAUGGAGCCACGGUGCUCAUGCGCAACGUGCACAUAUAUUUGUGUGGCGUGCACCCCAAAAACUUGGUAUAAAUAGGAGUAUCCACAGAACCAUUCCUGCACACCUCCUAAGUAUCUCCCUUUCAAUUUCUGAUUGAGGCAGUCCAUCCCGAGGCAGUCUCUGAAGUUUCUACUCCCGAAUCAACCCUACAUCAACGAAUCAAGAUAAUAGGGUGAGUUCACGACCCUACCUUUACUGUUUUUACAAGUUUACGUAGGGAAUACAUGUUAUAAGACUACUUUAUCGAUUUUUACAAAACGGUUAUUAUUUGUAAUAUAUUAGUAAUUUAUACAAAUACAUGAAACGUUAGGAUAAUAUUAUGACCGGUAGUUACCCUGCCUAAACUUUAGGAAUAAUACUAUGCCUAGUGGUUAUGCUGCCUAAAGCUAUAUUAAAAGAUUUCUGCUAGUUGUUAUGUUGGCUUAUACCGUAGGAUAACAUACUACCUAAUCGUCAUGCUAGCCAAACAUAAGGAUAAACAAUGUAAUUAGUUGUUACUCUGCCCUAAUAUCCUAUCAAAUAAUAUCAAUAUAUAUAUGGUCCAUUGGUAUAGCCUAGACUGCUCCAGCGCGCCAGCCUGGCCUGGCGCGCUCCUGGCGCGCUCCUGUCAGCCCUGCCUGGCGUUCCCUUGCCAGCCCUGCCUGGCGUUCCCUUGUCAGCCCUGCUGGGGACUCUCCUGCCGGCUCGGCCAGGCGCUCCCUCGCCUGGCACUCCCUUGCCAUCCUUUCCUGGUGCGCGCCCGCCAGCCUCUCCCGGCGCCUCCGGGCGGCCUCACCCAGCUCCUUGCUAGUUGGGCCUGAUUUGGAUAGGCCCAAGGUCUGACCUAAUUGUCCCAUAUAUAAUGAACCGUACCUUCUCCAUGAUUGAGGGGGACUCUCUCCUAGGUGGUUCAGCCACCACUAGACCCUUCCCUAGAUCUUCCCCCAUGGCUCAACCGCCACUAUAUUCCGGCCGGGUGGCUCAGUCGCCACCCGCGACCAUCAGCCACCAUACACCACCACCAGCACCAAGAUGGUUCUCUCCAGCCAUGGAGGACCAUCUCAAAUCUUCUAGCUGAUCUAACUUGACCGUCGGAGCCCGCUCCCGGGGCACAGUGCCUGGGGCGGCUCUAACGAUAUUGUACUGUGAUCUCAGAUCUCCGCUGCAGCAGAAGACCAGAGGAGCCGCCAUAGGUCGAUGUCGCAUCAUUUGGCGCCAUCCCGGAUUCGAGCAAGUAGCAAAAGCCUUAGUCGCUUUCAAGCUCGUUUUUCCUCAGAUCUAAUGUGUUUUCAUCUCAGGUUUCUUCAGAUCUGUUGAUCUCUAGUAUGAUUUGGUCAAUUAUGUUCAUGUUUGGCAUAAAUUUGUUCAGAUCCGUUUGGCUUUUGCCAAGAUCUGUUCAGAUCAAUGUGUUUCUUGACAAGAUGUCUUCAGAUCUAUUAAGCCAUCGUUUAGAUCUCAAGAUCUAUUUCAUUUUCAGUUCAGAUUUCUUGAGGUAUUUUCGUUUUUCAGCUCAGAUCUCUAGAUAUGAAAGUUUUUGUUCACUUAAUCAUCUCUCAAGUUUAAAAACAGCAACUCAGACCCGUUUUAAAUAUAUUUUCGGGGAGAGAAGAGGUUUUCAGGAGCUCCUCUCUAUUUUUAUGUUCAUAUUUUGGUGUUUUAUGGAACAACUCGACAGUUGAAGAACUUUUUGGUAGAUAUUUACUUUAUUUUGAGUUUAUGUUAUGAAGAAAUCACCUUCGGUUUACGGUUUUCUUUAGGUGCUUAGAAAAGAAAACGAAAAUUUCUUAGAUAUGUUUGUUGUUCAUACUUUAAUGACUUGAUGAGCAAGUUGAAAAGAAAAAAAAAAGUUCAUGAGGAGAAAACCUCAUCAGAUCUCGUUUUUGUUUAUAUCUUAAAGGUUGAGAAAGAAAAGAAGUUUUAUGAGUUUUAAACCCACUUUCAUCAGCUCUUAAGAUCAGAAAAAAUCAUUUGUUAGUUGGUUUUUUCAGUAUAUAACUCCAUUUUACAACUUCGGCUCUUGUAUUCAUUUGCAUUUUGGUGAUUUCUUGAGCAUUGAAAAGGAAAGAGGUUUCUACGGUUCAUAAACCAUCCUUUUUGUUCAAAUUGAGAAGAAAAUCCGUUUUUUAGAUAAGGAAAUUUGUAUGUUUUUUACCAAUUUUGACAGCUUCCUGUAAACAUAGCUAUGUUUCUUGUACAUUACAAAAAAAAAAAAAGAGAGAGGAAAAAUAACUUAAGCUCAUAAUCUUUUAUAAAUCUCUAUCUCUGUAAUUAUUUUGCUUGUACACAAAGCUAUGUCCAUUGUACACUUCUUAAAACCCCCAAAAAUUCGUUUAUCCCUUCUCACCAAAACCACCUGACCACAUUUUGUUAUUUUUAACUCAAAGAUUUAUUCUAGCCUCUCCAAUUUACUGCUCAAAAAACAACAAAAAAAGAAAGUAAGAAGAGACUUCUGGAAAUAAUGUGUAGAAAGAGGCGUAAUAAAGAAAGGGGGGUGUAUAGUGUACCCAGAUAAAAAGGAAGAAGACAAAAUACAGCUGGUGUGUCAUAUGCAGCGUAAGUGUAGGUGGGAUCCAAGCAUUUUGAAAGAUACAGAAGAGGCAAAAUGGGGCGCAUUUGGUCAACGCUCCUUUGGAGUAACCCGACUCACCCUUUCCAUUCAACCGACAACAACCACCAGAUCGGGCGUACCGAUGACCCAACAACAUCGUCUUCCUGUGUAGACGGACUCCAAUGAGGAACACAAAAAUAAAAAACAAUCAUAACCAGGGAUUUCAACCACCAGUCGCUACUAGUUCCAGGCACCCGACGAGGCACCACCGGCCUUUCCUUUUCGUGACCUGCUGAAGACAGCCGGAGCCGGGGACCGCCGAUCACUCGUCGGGACCAAAUGACAGCAGAUCCGAAGCAAAUAACCACAGGGGCCUCUCCAUUGACCCAUCAAUCAAAAACAAGCCAUCACCAACCUAUAGCUCCGACGAGCGAGCUCUGGAGGCAACAGUCUCUUGGCGACCCAAAACAAUCUCUGGCCCCGGCGUUUUUGUUUAAUCAAUAUUGGAUGAAAUUACAACACCGCCACUUAACCUCCGCGCCCCUGUGUCCAAUUAACCACCGCAUACGCCGGACGGUCGAAGAACCUCGGUCUCUAAGAGCUGCUCCCUCUGCCAGACUACCUGUCAUCGCCUCAUCACUACCGGCAACCCAACACGCCAAUGUCGCUGCCGGAAUCGCUGCUCUGUUUUCUUUCUCCGCCAUCGUCUCCAGGCAACGAACCACCGGGAAAGGCCGGCAAGAUGUCUAGGACACACAAGAUACCCAAUCACCGACGUGUUCCUUUUUGGCUCCCCACUUGAGAGAUUGGGAAAAUAAGAUGUUGGCUGGAAUCCUUCUAUCCCCAAGACGCAACAAAUGAGAAAACCAAUGGGCCCAAAGCUGGCCAGCCCAUAUGCGCACCAUAUAAUAAAAAAACAAUUGGGCUAAUUAUCUUUACACAAAUGUACUGUGGUUAUUGUGGGCUCCUCCUAAAAAUUGGCCAUAUGAUAUCGGUCAAUUUUUAACAAGCCUUAUUUUACCAAUUAGCCGCUCAUUGCUUUCUUGCUGUGAUUUGACCUAGCAAAAUCAAGAUGUGUUUGCGGUCCAGUUCAUCUUGCACCAUAUAAUAAUAAUAUAAAAAAAGCCAGAUUUAGGCUAACGAUUCAACAUUUGGGCUCAUCCAUAAAUGGGCUGCUGCCAUUAUAUUUUGGUUUUCUCCCAUAUUCGAUCACUUAGAAUAUCUCAACAGUUAAAUGGGCCGCUUUCGCAAGAGAAAAAUCAACAACUCAACGUCAUGUGCUCCGAUCCAGUCAAGCUGAAUAUGAUUCUAUAAGAUGCGGUCCGAC